GACAGAGGGUGCGAACGUUGCUCGGAAUUACUGGGCGUAAAGCGUGUGUAGGCGGCUGCGCAAGUCAGGCGUGAAAUCCCUGGGCUCAACCCAGGAACUGCAUCUGAAACUGCAUGGCUGGAGUGUCGGAGAGGGAAGCGGAAUUCCUGGUGUAGAGGUGAAAUUCGUAGAUAUUCGGAAGAACACCAGUGGCGAAGGCGGCUCACUGGACGACUGUUGACGCUGAGGUGCGAAAGCGUGGGGAGCAAACAGG
rnacentral:rRNA from 1 species